GGGGGGACCACCCUCCAAGGCUGAACACUCUCCUGUGACCGAUAGCGAACCAGUACCGUGAGGGAAAGGUGAAAAGCACCCCGAGAGGGGAGUGAAACAGUACCUGAAACCGUGCGCCCACAAGCAGUCGGAGCAGCCUUUGCGCUGUGACGGCGUGCCUUUUGUAGAAUGAGCCAGCGAGUUGCGGUGUGCGGCGAGGUUAAGUUUGGAAACGAGCCGCAGCGAAAGCGAGCCUUUAAGAUGGCGAGUGAGUCGCACGCUGCAGACGCGAAGCCGGGUGAGCUAUCCUGGGGCAGGCUGAAGCGGGGGUAAGACCCCGUGGAGGGCCGAACCCACUUCGGUUGAAAACGGAGGGGAUGACCCCAGGAUAGGGGUGAAAGGCCAAUCAAACCCGGAGAUAUCUCGUUCUCCCCGAAAUAGCUUUAGGGCUAGCCUCGGCCGUUAACCCGCGGUGGUAGAGCCACCGGAUCGACGAGGGGGCUUCACCGCCUACCGACUCGAACCGAACUCCGAAUGCCGCGGGUCGAGAGGCCGGGAGUCAGAGGGCGUGGGCUAAGCUGCGCGCUCGAGAGGGAAACAGCCCAGACCGCCCGCUAAGGUCCCCAAGUCAUCGCUGAGUGGCAAAGGAUGUGCGUCUGCCCAGACAACCAGGAUGUUGGCUUAGAAGCAGCCAUGCAUUUAAAGAGUGCGUAACAGCUCACUGGUCGAGUGGACAUGCGCCGACAAUUCACGGGGCUAAGCGAUGCACCGAAGCGGCGGACUGAGAAUUCAGUGGUAGGGGAGCUCUCCGCGGGGGGCGAAGCAGCAGGGCGACCUGCUGUGGACCGCGCGGAGGUGAGAAUGCUGGCAUGAGUAACGAGACCAGGGCGAGAAACCCUGGCGCCGUGAGCCUAAGGGUUCCUGGGCGAGGCUAAUCCCCCCAGGGUCAGUCGGGAGCUAAGGCGAGGCCGAGAGGCGUAGCCGAUGCGCAGCGGGCAGACAUUCCCGCACCGCCGACGGCGCGGCAUUACCGAUGGGGCGACGGAGAAGGGUAGCCGGGCGGGGUUCUGGACGUCCCCGUGAAAGCGCGUAGGGCGCGCAGCGUGGAAAUCAGCUGCGCACGGGGCCUGAGACGCGAGACGAAGCGAGCGAGCGAAGCCGGUGAGCCCAUGCUUCCGAGAAAAACCUCUAGGGAGUGCCGUCGGCGCCCGUACCAAAACCGACACAGGUGGGCGGGUAGAACAUACCGAGGCGAUCGGGAGAACCACGGUUAAGGAACUCGGCAUACUGGCCCCGUAACUUCGGGAGAAGGGGCGCCGCCGGCUGUGAACGCCCUCGCGGCGGGAGCGGCUGGCGGCCGCAGCGAAACGGCCCAAGCGACUGUUUAUCAAAAACACAGGACUCUGCAAAGCGGUAACGCGACGUAUAGGGUCUGACGCCUGCCCGGUGCCGGAAGGUUACGCGGAUGCGUCAGCCGAAAGGCGAAGCGCUGAAGCCAAGCCCCGGUAAACGGCGGCCGUAACUAUAACGGUCCUAAGGUAGCGAAAUUCCUUGUCGGGUAAGUUCCGACCUGCACGAAUGGCGUAACGAUUUGGGCGCUGUCUCAACCGUGGACCCGGUGAAAUUGUACUGUUCGUGAAGAUGCGAACUACCCGCGGAAGGACGGAAAGACCCCGUGAACCUUUACUGCAGCUUGGCAUUGGCAUCUGGUACGGCGCGUAGAGGAUAGGCGGGAGCCUUUGAAGCGGGGGCGCAAGCCCCCGUGGAGGCGACCUUGGAAUACCGCCCUCGUCGUGCCGGCUGCCUAACGCGCGGCCGUGAUCCGGCGCGCGGACCGUGCCAGGCGGGUAGUUUGACUGGGGCGGUCGCCUCCCAAAACGUAACGGAGGCGCGCGAAAGGUCCGCUCAGGACGGUCGGCAACCGUCCCGAGAGCGCAAGAGUGCAAGCGGGCUUGACUGCGAGAGAGACACCUCGAGCAGGGACGAAAGUCGGUUCUAGUGAUCCGGCGGCACAGAGUGGAAUGGCCGUCGCUCAACGGAUAAAAGGUACUCCGGGGAUAACAGGCUGAUCUUGCCCAAGAGUCCACAUCGACGGCAAGGUUUGGCACCUCGAUGUCGGCUCAUCGCAUCCUGGGGCUGAAGUCGGUCCCAAGGGUUGGGCUGUUCGCCCAUUAAAGCGGUACGCGAGCUGGGUUCAGA
rnacentral:rRNA from 1 species